rnacentral:rRNA from 1 species
AUUGAACGCUGGCGGCAUGCCUUACACAUGCAAGUCGAACGGCAGCGGGGACUUCGGUCCGCCGGCGAGUGGCGAACGGGUGAGUAAUGUAUCGGAACGUACCAUUGAGUGGGGGAUAACGUAGCGAAAGUUACGCUAAUACCGCAUAUUCUCUCCGGAGGAAAGCAGGGGACCGCAAGGCCUUGCGCUCUUUGAGCGGCCGAUAUCAGAUUAGCUAGUUGGUGAGGUAAAGGCUCACCAAGGCGACGAUCUGUAGCGGGUCUGAGAGGAUGAUCCGCAACACUGGAACUGAGACACGGUCCAGACUCCUACGGGAGGCAGCAGUGGGGAAUUGUGGACAAUGGGGGCAACCCUGAUCCAGCCAUGCCGCGUGAGUGAAGAAGGCCUUCGGGUUGUAAAGCUCUUUCGGCCGGGAAAAAAUCGCAUGGGCUAAUAUCCUGUGUGGAUGAUGGUACCGGAAUAAGAAGCACCGGCUAACUACGUGCCAGCCGCCGCAGUAAUAC